rnacentral:tRNA from 1 species
GACCGCGUAGCUCAGUUGGCAGAGCAUUUGGUUGGUAUUCCAAAUGUCGUAGGUUCGAUUCCCAGCGUGGUCG